UACAGAGGGUGCGAGCGUUGUCCGGAAUCACUGGGCGUAAAGGGCGCGUAGGCGGUUCGUACAGUCAGACGUGAAAUUCCUGGGCUCAACCUGGGGGCUGCGUUUGAUACGUGCGGACUUGAGUGCGGAAGAGGGUCGUGGAAUUCCCAGUGUAGAGGUGAAAUUCGUAGAUAUUGGGAAGAACACCGGUGGCGAAGGCGGCGACCUGGUCCGAUACUGACGCUGAGGCGCGAAAGCGUGGGGAGCAAACAGG
rnacentral:rRNA from 1 species